rnacentral:lncRNA from 1 species
CAGUGGGGGUGGACGUGCCCGCCAGCCACCGAAGGCGGGUGCCAGGAUGUGCUCAGAAAGACAUGACAUGGUCCGGUGUGACGGUGAGGAUGGACGUGACGGUAUCCAGCCUUCCUGAACAUCUUUGGCUGGCCCCGGGGGCGCUGCGACACCCGGCAGGUCUCUGUUCCUUUACUUUCCUGAAGGAGUCAACACACUACUGCUGCUCUCUGGACCCCAAGAACCCUCAAGAUGACAAGAAAUGGUGCUACCCAGCUCAUGCCUGGGCCUUGGAACCCGGACUUCUUCAAGUCCCUCUAGCUCUGACUCAAGAAUAUGCUGCAUUCUGGAACCACUACACUACUUGACUCAGGAAUCAGCUCUGGAAGGUUAAGCUAAAGGAACCAGAUGGACCUGCCGCCAACACCACCGGAAGUGAGCAGCGCCCACGGCUGCCCCACCCCCACCUGGGGACUCGUCUUCGUCUUCAUGGCCACCCCUGCGGGGCUGGAGACCACCGCCAGCCCCCCACGCCCCUCACUACCAUCUGCCUCCUCUCCCUGCUCUUCUUCAUCCUUUCCUUUUGAAUUUUCACUUCUUUUUCUUCUCUGUCCUUUGCUCAGGAGACUCAGAGCAUCCGUGACUCUGUUUCCCCCGUCCCCCUGAAUUCAAUUUGCACUAAGUCAUUUGCACUGGUUGGGGUUACGGACCCGCCUUGAGUCUCUGAGCGAGUAUGCAAGAAAACUGCCGAGUGUGCUGGGCCUCCUUUGGCCUGUGCCGCGCCCUCGCCCCCCUGUCGUCCAUCUCAAUCUGGGGGUGACUGGGUGCGGCCGCGUGUGUGAGGCCCCGCCCUCCCCUUGCCUAGUCUGGAAGCUCCGACCAUCUGGAGCAAACCUUGAAGCAUUCCAUUGUCCUUCUCGCUUUGCGCCCCCCCUCACCAGGGCUCCACCAGGAGUCCUGGACUCAUCAAUAAAUACAGUUACAGCAAUUUGUCUCUAGAAUUG